CCCUCAUUCCGCCAACCAAUCACUGAGGAGCACCACCCACCUAGCCUCUGCUAAUUGGCCAACCUGGCCGUCAAGUAGGUAUUUUCCUUGCCACUGACCGUGGAAAUAAUUCACCGAGAACGGGAAAAAGUUGCCGAGGGGCCAUUCAUUGGCACGGGGUUACCUAAUGAAAGGAGCUCUGGCAGAGACGGCCAGGACGUUUAUAAAAACGGAUACAACAUGGCCUGUGUCCAACUAAGCGUGGGGGUCCGCGGGGCCGUGUGAAACCGGAGUGAAGCUCUUGAGUGCGGGGCGGAGGUGGGAUUCACGCCAAGGGCUGAGGGGCUGGCCGCUCCUGUAGACGUGAGGACUCUUUAGACUUGCCUCUUCCGUCCUAAUGGUAGACCCCCAGUAUUCUUAGCAAAUAGAUUAAUUGGCUUGGGGACUUCAUUGGAGCUGUGAGCGCUUUGAGCAAGGACCGAGGACCCGAUUUCAUUGAGCUCCGCCGGGAGCCCGCCCGCCUAACGCCGGACUCGCUGGCGUGGAGCCGCCAGCCCCGCCGGCCGUUGUGAGGCGCCUCCGAUAUCCCUGCGCCUCGCUCGCCCAAGUUGUACGCGGCGGCUGCGCGCUCAGGCCGUUUCCUGCUUUUUUUCCCCCCCCUGACAAUUGGAGAUUCCCUCGGUCUCCCGCUUCCGUGCUAGACCCGGGCACCGAUUCUUGCUCAGCUUGGGGCACCCUCGCUGAAUGAGGACAGCCGGACGGCCGCGAACUCGGGCGUGGGUGGGUCGUGGGGUAAGUUGGAGCCGUGCACCAGCGGGCCCCAGUGGGUGCCGCUGCUGGGAUCGGCGAACGCGCCGGCACAUUCACGGCGCUCUCUCAUCCAUCCCCCCUGUCCAGGCGCACAGCUCCAUGUAAGUCCCAACGGACCCCGCUCCCGGACCCCGGGGUCCCGAAGGAUGCGCUUGAGUACCCCCUCGCCAUGUGCGGGGUGGAGGGGGGGAAGACGGCUCAGCCAAGCACCCAGUUCCUGUGAAGUUAAAAUACAGCGCGAACUCUUCAAUGCUAGAGAGGAUUGCAUGUCAAUUCUCUAAGAAAAAAAUUUAGAAACAGUUUUAUGUUAAUUAACGGGCGGCAGAGGGCUGUUGGUUCACUAAAGCAGCCCCUGUUCAGUCUCCUUCUGAAGCCACAACAUAGGAAGGUCCCUUUUGGCUCCCUGGUAAUGAAUGACCCCAGAGUAACACCACCACAACCUGCGGGAAAAGGAGAGCCGUUUUCCCCACCCCGAGAUCUGCAAGAAUGAAAUGACAUGUUUUGAGGUUUUCAAGCUGACUCAUCAGAAUCCUGGAGCAUUUUUUAAAUGACGAUGUCAAGUUUGUUGUUACUGGUUUUGCAAAAGUCUGCUUAGAAGGCUUGUCCCUAAAAUGAGGGACAAAGCAGAAGCUUGGGCCAGUUAUCUACACUCUUACAGGAGCAAGGCGUUCCAGGAUACAAGACUAUUCCUUAACUUUUGAUGGUCAAAAGACUAUUGACAAUUCAUGUAAAACGUGGAGGAGAAAGAUUGUGC